UCGGGAAUAUUGCGCAAUGGAGGAAACUCUGACGCAGUGACGCCGCGUGCAGGAAGAAGGUUUUCGGAUUGUAAACUGCUUUAGACAGGGAAGAAACAAGACAGUACCUGUAGAAUAAGCUCCGGCUAACUACGUGCCAGCAGCCGCGGUAAUACGUAGGGAGCAAGCGUUAUCCGGAUUUAUUGGGUGUAAAGGGUGCGUAGACGGGAAAUUAAGUUAGUUGUGAAAUCCCUCGGCUUAACUGAGGAACUGCAACUAAAACUGAUUUUCUUGAGUGUUGGAGAGGAAAGUGGAAUUCCUAGUGUAGCGGUGAAAUGCGUAGAUAUUAGGAGGAACACCNGUGGCGAAGGCGACUUUCUGGACAAUAACUGACGUUGAGGCNCGAAAGUGUGGGGAGCAAAC
rnacentral:rRNA from 2 species